UGUAUUCUGCUAUGUCUACUGGGAGAAUACACUAGUGGGGAUAGUUCUGUGUAUACAGUGAUUAAGCACAUAGGUUCUGGAGCCAGUCUGUUUCUUUCAAAAUCACCUCAUUGCUUUUGAAGAAUCAGGGAAACCCCCAUGAGACUACAGGUGUGAAGCAAGAUAGAAGCAUCAGUGCAAAAGAGUCUCUUCCAGGGUAAAGGAUGGACUUUGGUGUGUUCUCUUUUGUACAUGCCUCAGUGAGAUGCACAAAGCACAACUUGGUCAGAUUCACAGAGGCUCUUGUCUCCUCUAACUCUUCCUGACUCAGUACUGCAUUUCCAAAUAAAGCCACUCACAAUCUUUAAUCAGGCUGUAAAUUUUAAGAAAUCUGGACCAAGACAGUUUGCUCCAAGAGUAUCCCACAAAUGCAGAUCUUCAGAGUGAGAUUUUAUUAUUGGAUUGCUCACCUGUCUGUUGCAUCUUCAACCUUUCUGGACUACAGCACCUGCCAACUGACCCCCACAUCAUGGCUCCAACGCUGGCUUCAUCACAUAUCUUCUCUCUCAGUCCCUUUGGCUCUCAGGGUGCAAUAGCUUAACAAAAUUGCUGAUCUAGGUGCCUCAGCAUUGUUUCUUUGUCAUAGUCUCUGUAUUAUCUUAUUUUGAGCCAUUCUUUUCCUGCAAAGAUCCUAACUGAAUGAGAUAACUACUUCAUAAGCUAUUUGUAAGGUUUAAAUAAAUUAAUGCAUAUUUAAUACAUGAA
rnacentral:lncRNA from 1 species